CUACGGGGGGCACCAGUGAGGAAUAUUGCACAAUGGGGGAAACCCUGAUGCAGCAACGCCGCGUGGAGGAUGACGCAUUUCGGUGUGUAAACUCCUUUUAUGAGUCAAGAAAAUGACGGUAGCUCAUGAAUAAGCAACGGCUAACUCCGUGCCAGCAGCCGCGGUAAUACGGAGGGUGCAAGCGUUACUCGGAAUCACUGGGCGUAAAGGACGCGUAGGCGGGAUGUCAAGUCAGGUGUGAAAUCCUAUGGCUCAACCAUAGAACUGCACUUGAAACUGGCAACCUAGAGUAUGGGAGGGGGAGAUGGAAUUAGUGGUGUAGGGGUAAAAUCCGUAGAUAUCACUAGGAAUACCGAAAGCGAAGGCGAUCUCCUGGAACAUUACUGACGCUAAGGCGUGAAAGCGUGGGGAGCAAACAGGAUUAGAUACCCGAGUAGUC
rnacentral:rRNA from 1 species